UGUGCACAAAUUUUUCAACAUCUUGUAAGCAAAAUCAAAAAACGUUUUUUGUUGAGUUGGGUUGACUAUUAAUCUGUGCACUGGUUGAGAUAUGGUGCCACAGUGAAGUUUUAUUCUGAGUGCUUUGUGUCUGUCCUCUCCAGUGAGCCAAGCUGGUCUAUGAACACUGUGUGUAUAUAUGCCCUAGCCACGAGGAAAGGAUACAGACCACCCUGAAAGACACAUUCUGAUCAAGAAGUCUUGCUUGCUGGAGAGAAUGACAGCACAGGGCAUCUGAGCUAUAGCUUCAUAGGGCAUUAUAGCCACUCAGGCAGGUGCAGAGAUUACCACUGAUGUGAAAUGAAAUGUUUCUAUAUUUACAAAAUGAUGUUUUUCCACCAGUUUCACUAUUUUGUCUUUGUCCUGCAGCAGGAUAAAAGCCUACCGUGAAAAUAUAUGAAUUUCCUGUGGGAUUGAUAUUCGUUCCAUUUAUUGUUCAUCUCUACUUUUGAAUACUCUGUACUGUACUGGCAUUUGGGAGUUAGAAAAGACCAGUCUUCCACAGUGAAAAAUCUGUUGUCCCAUUUUGGUCAUGCUGAAAUCUCCAUUCGGUAACUUGGCUCCCGUAAUCCCACUGAGCUUUCAAUUGGUACCGGAAGUCAUUCAAUUAUUUUUACUACCGGCCAUAAUUCACUUUAGAAGACAUGGAUCCUGCUGCUUCCAGCCAUACAAGUUUGUGCUGAAGUACAUCACACGCUGAAGAGAAAAAAACUUGGAUUUGACUCUGCCCUCUUCGCGAAUUAAGUUGGUAACUUCAAAAUAAUAAGAAAACUGAUAUCUGAUUUUCCACAAAUACCUGGCUAUGAAAGGAGUUAUGACACAAACAUGAAUUGGAUGAAAACAACAGGGAUGGUAACCCCUUCUGAGGGCAUGAGA